ensembl:lncRNA
GCCCUUUAUGACACCUUUGUAGAGGGGAGACCAGUAUGGUGUGCAGCCUGGGUGGAUGUUUAAACAAAAAGAAGAGGAAAGAGGGCUGGAACAAACAAAAGGGAGUAGCUGCUACAACAGUCAUGGAAAUGCUUGCGGGAAUCCGUGAGGAUAUCCGUGCCGUUAAGGAACGUUCUGGGCAGAAAGACGUGAAGACUGAUUCCUGUGCUGGUUUCAACAGUUGAGGCCCCAAACCUUCUUGACAAAUCCCUCAAAUCUCUGGAGGAAAGGCUGAAACUCAUCAAUGGCUUUUCCGAAGUGGGAGGAGUAUACAUGAAGGCCAAGGUGAAGAGGGACGUGGAGAAACAAGAGAGAAAAGUGGCGUUUUCAGCGUCGCUCUCAGCAGGUGAAGCUGGUCAUAUUGGACCAUACAGCACUUUAUUUCCUCUGGUCUACAGACACGUCUUCACCAACAUCGGCAAAGCUUACAACCCAGCUACAGGGAUUACAUUGGCUAUCAUUAGUCACUGUUAAAUUCACCUUGAC